UGGAUUGAAGCCAGUUGUGUUGGGCGUUUAGCUGUUAACUAAAUUUUUCGCGGGUUAAAGUCCUGUCAGUCCAG
rnacentral:tRNA from 1 species